AACUUUCUCAUACAGUUCAUCAUUUGAUGGUACUGAAAUGUCAUGGGAUUCAGAUAUAUUAAUGGAAGAUAACUCUGACAUAGAAAGCUAUAGAAAUGAUAUAAACACCGAAGAUGCCUGUAAAUUGUACAUAGAGGAAAAAAAUUUAUAGUUUUUAAAUCAUGCUUGCUAGGCCUAUUUCAACAAUGUGCAAACUGUAAAUCGGAGGUUGAAAUUGACUUGUGAACAAUUGGAACAUUUUUAUCUGUCAAGCAAACAUGUAAUGUAUGUUCACAUACUCGAAUACAGCAUAGCCAACCAGUUAGUCAAGGUUAUCCAAUUGGGAAUAUUUUAAUGUCAUCAGCGUUACUAUCAGCAGGAUUGUUGCCAAGUCCAGUAAUUCGAUUCUUUCAAUUUAUGAACUGUGCAUCUAUUGCAAAAUCUACAUUCUUUCGACAUCAGAAUACAUCUGUUCAACCAGCCAUUAGAUUAGAAUGGGAAAAAAUCCAAUCAGAAAUAAUAUCAUCUUCGAAGGCUAGUGGCAAUAAAUUAUCAAUUGGAGGUGAUGGAAGGUGCGUCAGCCCGGGAUACAGUGCAAAAUAUGGAUCAUACACAUUGAUGGACUUGGAACGUGGUCUAGUUAUUGAUUCACAACUAAUACAGAGCAAUGAAGUGUAGGGAAGUACCAACAUGGAAAAAGAGGGCUGCAUAAGAGGAAUGACAUUUUUGAAGAAACAAGAAUUAGAUGUAAAUGUGUUAGUCACUGACAGACAUGUUGAAAUAACAAAGUGGAUGAAGGACCACAUGACAGGAAUUCAGCACAAAUUUGAUGUAUGGCAUCUGGCCAAAGGACUUCAGAAAAAACUUGAUAAGCUAGCAAAGAAGAAAGGAAGUGACACUAUUGCUGAAUGGACACGUAGCAUAGUGAAUUAUCUGUACUGGUCAAUAAUGUCAACAAAAGAAGAUAAUGAAGACCUUAUUCUAGAAAAAUGGGUGUCAAUAUGCAAUCAUAUACAUAACAAGCAUCAAGGGCAUGGCAAGUUGUACUAAAAGUGCUCUCAUGGCCCACUUGGAAAAUGCAAAUGAAUAAAAAGAAAUACACAGGCCAGUAUCACUUUACUUUCUGUCAUUUAAAACAAGCAUUUGUGUACGGGUAUUGCUAAAUGCUCAAAUACUUUCCAAACAUCAAAAUUGGAAGCGUAUCAUAGCAUGGUGAAUCAUUUUGCACCCAAGCAUACUGCUCUUUCGUAUGUUAGCUAGGUUGCAACUUUCUGCUUUGCAUUUCAAUAAAAAUGCUGGGAAGAACAAGCAAUUACUAAAUCUGGAGAGAAAAGAUAUAGCAUUUUAUUUCCGAAAUUCAAAAAGGAGGUCACACUGUGAGAAAAAUUACAGAGAGUAGCUCAUAAGGCUAUACACAUGAUGUAAUGAUAGAAGCAAUCAAAUUGGCUAUCAACAAUGUUACAAUUCACACUACUACCAAUCCACCACCUACAUUAGCUAGUCAAUAUGAGAAACCAUCAAAACCAGAUACUAUAACACAGCACAUGAGUAGAUUCAACUAAAUUAAUUUAUAAUUUAAAACCAAUAUAAUGUGAUGAAU